rnacentral:rRNA from 1 species
UACGUAGGGCGCCAGCGUUAUCCGGAAUUAUUGGGCGUAAAGAGCUCGUAGGCGGUUUGUCGCGUCUGCCGUGAAAGUCCGGGGCUUAACUCCGGAUCUGCGGUGGGUACGGGCAGACUAGAGUGCAGUAGGGGAGACUGGAAUUCCUGGUGUAGCGGUGAAAUGCGCAGAUAUCAGGAGGAACACCGAUGGCGAAGGCAGGUCUCUGGGCUGUAACUGACGCUGAGGAGCGAAAGCAUGGGGAGCGAACAGG